rnacentral:rRNA from 1 species
AAUAUUGUACAAAGGGGGCAACCCUGAUCCAGCCAUACCGCGCGUGUGAAGAGGGUCNNNGGAGUNUCAAGACCUUUGUGUUGNGUGNGAGGGCUUUAGGUUAAUACCCUGAAGUUUUGCCGUUACCAACAGAAUAAGCACCGGCUAACUAUGUGACAGCAGCCGCGGUACUACAGAGGGUGCAAGUGUUAUACGGAAUUACUGGGCGUAAAGCGAUCGUAGGUGGUUUUGUAAGUUGGAGUUGAAAGCCCCGGGCUCAACCUUGGAACUGCUUUGAAAACUGGAAAGCUAGAGGACGGAAGAGGGUGGUGGAAUUUCCUGUGUAGCGGUGAAACGCGUAGAUAUUGGAAGGAACACCAGUGGCGAAGGCGAGUUUCUGGUCUGUUAUUGACACUGAGGCUCGAAAGCGUGGGGAGCAAAC